CUCUCAGUUUCCACAGGAUGCGGUCGCUCGAGCGUCACAGGCGAGGGCGGCUGCGGCUCAAAGCCUCUGGGACAGGAAGCGGGCGGGGCGGGGCCGGCAAACCGGGCCAGGCGCCCCGAUCAGAACCGGAGCGGGUCACACACUUCCUGCCGCCGCCAACAUGGUGAGAGCGCAGCAGGCGAACGAUCAGCAGCUGCAGAAACAUCCAGGAAACCUUCAGAGCCACAGUGGAGCAGCAGAGAACCUUCAGAGCUGAGUUUCACCAGUCAGUGACUGAACCCAAGACGAUUCACUGAUCUGGUUUCUGUAAAGGUCAACAGAAACACUUUUCAGCCUCCUUCAGACUGGAAACAACAAACCAGCAGCAACAAAACACAGAAGUGUCUGGAUCACCAGUGGAAUCUGAAGGUGGCUGCUAGGACUCCAGCUUCCUGCAGGUGGCGUCCUUCAUACUGGCUGUUUUAUUGGACAACAGCGCCAUCAAGUGGAUGUUUAAAGAACUGCAGCUCAGAGGAGGGAUGAAAACUGUUGAUUGUUUUUGUUUUCUAUUUUCAUUCAGGAGGUUUUCACAAAAAAACAGAACAGAGACAUUAAUAUACAUUUUUAUAAUAACCAGAAUGAUAUUGGAGGUGAAGUGGUGAUAAAGAUCUAUUGACUAAGUUUAUUUUACCAAUUUACAACAUACUCCAUGUAGACACAAGUUAAGUCUGGCACAUGGUGCUUGGGGGUUUUCCCUUACCAUAUUUCCUGUUUCUCCACAGGUUCAGGAUGGAGGCUGCUGCCAAGUUGAGUUGCAGUUUUCUUUAAUGGUCCAAGGUGGCAUUUAAGAAAAUAAAAGUCAUUUUACUUUUCGAACUAAGCUGCAUCUGGAUUCAUCUUCUUCCACAAUUCAUCGUUCCUGACAGCAUCAUUGAUGAGUCCAUGGCUGUUUGUGUCUCUGUUGUCCAGUGAUAAACUGGAAAUCUGUCCAGUCUGUCAACUAAAAACAGUAACAUGGAUGGAUAGAUGGAUGGAUACAGUACAUUUCUUAAUGUCUCUAUGUCUUUGCUACAUAAAGAAAUGCUACAUAGACCUACUUUAUCAUGUCACUGUUUGGAAUUUGAAUUCCGAACAGUGACAUGAUAUAUGAAAAUGUAAAAGAUAGCUUUUUAUUAGGCAGAGCUAUAAAACAUUUGGGUGCUCUGUUAGCUUAUCAAGCUAAGGCCAGCAGGUGAAGGUCUGUUCACUCAUAAAACAAUAGCCCUGUAUUUGGUUACAUUUGCAUUCAGACUAACUGCAGACAUGUUGUGGCCUCCUAUAAUGAAGUUUAAUAUUCUGCAAAAGAACUAACUUUAUCUGAUUAGUCCAUUACAUGGAUUGUACCAAUCUGUUAAGCUACUGUUUCUAAGAGAAAGGAUCCUAAAUGGGAUAUGCACAAGGCAUCCCACACUAUCCCAGUUCUGUAACUCACACCACAAACCUCUAACAAAACAAGAUACUCCAUAGCAGUAACACAGUUAUGCCAAAAAAGAUAGUCUUUGUGGGAUGAUAUUAGUAUGAGUUUGCACUGCAAUCAGUGGGUUGCUAAUUUGAUAGUCCACUCCACCCGCCUCUAUCAUUGUGUCCUUGGGCAAGGCACUUCAACCGCCUUGCCUGCUGGUGGGGUUCAGAGGGCCCAAUAGGCGAGUGUGAUUGUGAAUGGGUGAAUGACUAGUGUGAAGAGCUUUGGAUUACUCUGGUCUUGAUAAAGUAAUAUAUAAGUACAAGCCAUUUACCAUUCAUUGUCCUGUAGAAGUGAUCUUUUUCACAGUCAUUACAUAUUUCAAGCUGCAGAUAUACAUAAGGCAUUUCCCCAAUAUUUCCCAGAUGUCCCUCUGUUUUUCUGAACAGUAAUGAUUACAGGAAACACAAGGAAAUGAAUGAGUGUCACAAGGGUUUGUUCAAUGUGAUGACAGCUGAGGGGACAAAACAUUUGAGCCUUUUCCAGACUACAGUUCUGUAUCUGCAGUCUGAUAGGAGUAGAGUGAAGAACCAGUUCAGAGGAUGGUCAGGACUGUAUGGUGGAUGUGUGAUAUGCAUCUGUGUGAUGGUUUGUGAUCCACUGAAGUUGAGGUUAGUAUCUAUGGUGAACCCUAGAGAUUUGAACCAGUAGUGGUUCAACUGGUUCUACACAUCUUUAAGCCUCUAAACUCCAACUUAUGAUGGAUUACUGAUCGUCUUCGGAUCAGUCUGGAGAGUUCAUAAGUGAAUGACUAGAUUAUUUUGUCAGUGUUGAAUUAGAAAUACUGUAAUUCUCUGUGAUGAAACUUCACAGAUAGUGGAUGUUGCCUGUGAAUAGUCCUUUUGUGGCUGUCCCAUCUGCACAAUUGUAGUAAGUAGAGGUGGAUAGUGAACUAUAGCAGUUUGAGUAGAGUUUAUAAGGGACUGAGGAUGCAACCAUGAUGGCCUCCAGUGUUGGUUGAUGAUGCUGAUCUUCCUUCACUGAGUCAUGGUUGGUCCUUUCAAACUCUCCAUCCAAUCAGAACUCAGUAUUUUGACUUGGCACCAACCUCCAUUAAGAUUCUGUGGGUAAACAGAGAAAAGGGGGGGAAACUGCCCCCAAGCACAGUAUGGUAAACAUUAAGCAGUUACUUAUGUUUUUGAGGUUUAUUUCAGUCUAUCCAACCUGAAAACUCAAAUCUUGAUGGGGGGGUUUUCUGCAUCAUGUCUUCAGACUGGAAGACCCUCCUCUUCCUCCAUCGUGGGUCCAGAUGAGUCUCAGCACCAAUCACUGUCCUCCGGAGACCUGUCCAGUAUGUCAACCAACUGCAACGAUGGAUGGCUGGAUGGAUGGAUGUUAAAGACCAAGAAACACAUCAGCUGCAUUUCAUCUUUUCAUCUUUACCAAAAUGGAUUUUGCUUUAUAGUUCUUUACCCAAUAUUGGUUGGCACUACAUUCAGUCAUUCAAGCACACACUGACACGCUGAUGGUGGUGAGCUGAGUUGUAGCCACAGUUGCCCUGCGGUAGUCUGACAAAAGAUACUACUUUAUCAUGUCACUUCAUUUGAAUUCCAAACAGUUCUCAUGACAUAUGAAAAUUUUAAAGAUAGAUUUAUCUCAGGCUGUGCUAUAAAACAUUUGGUUGCUCUGUUAGUUUAUCAAGCUAAGGCCAGUAGGUGAAACUCAUGAGACAAUGACACUGUAGUAGGUUACAUUUGCAUUCAGAUUAACAGUAGACAGUGUGAUGGAGUCCUACAGUAAAUAGUUUAAUGUAAAAUGUUUAAGAGUUUUUAUACCUACUGCCCCUGGAUGUAAAGAGGGCCAGAGACCACAAGUUGACAAAGUCCUUGUAAAAUUGAAAAAAAAAAUUCUUGGUUCCCAAAAGAUUCUUAAAAAUGCUGGAAAGAUGUCAGAAAGGAGGGAACUGUUAGGCCAUGCCAAAUCCAGGAAAAACAGGGACUGUCACCUAUUCUCAAUGGUUCACCUAAACAUUACAUGAGUGGCACCAACCUACUUACCAAGUGUGUCCUAGCUGUGAAAAAUGCACAGCAUUUCCCAUAGAGAGAGAUAUAGGCACCCUCCUGUCAAAUUUUAAUCGGAGUUUGAUUGAUGAGUGAUUUAUGCAGUGUUGUAUAAAGUACUGAAAUCUCAGAGUCAAG